GCUGCGGUCCGUAAGGUGCUACCAAAUCUGUGCACAAAAAGAGCAUAAAAGUGUAGCAUCAGCAAAACCGACCCCAUGUGCUGGUAAGUGCCUGUCCUAACCCCGGCGAGGUAGUGACGAGGCUAGACCGGACCUACCACAAUUAACCUGUACAAAUAUAUGUACAACAACGGAAAAAUAUACCAAAUUUAAACAGAUAAUAGGGAGGGGACAUGAUGUGGGGUGUAACAAUUUAGAUAUGAGACCAACGAAUAGAGAGAUGGAAACUGAAUAGUUAACAUCAAUGAAUGAGAGCAAGUAAAUCAACAACUUCACGGCACCAACCUUCGUGCUUUUACUCUCAAUUAUCACAAAACUGCCAAAUAUAGUGCACGGCAUCACCCUUCGUGCUUCCCUCGCAUAACUCUCAUAUCAAGGCACGGAAUGACCCUUCGUGCUCAAAUAAUCAAAACAUGGCACGGAAAGACCCUUCGUGCAUAAUUAUCAAAACAUGGCACAUAAAGACCCUUGAUGCAUAAUCACUCUUCUUCACCCAAUCAACGGCACAAGCAAUCGGGAAAAGGAAUAUACAACAAGAUUAAACAUCCCGGCAAGGGAGAACAAACCAUCAUUUAAGUCAUGGCAAGGGAAAACGAGUCAACAACGAGUCUGGCAAUGAAAACAAAUACCACACUUCCUUCUUUAACUCAUUUGCUUCUCAACUAUCGCUUCACAUUUAAAUUAGCAAGUAAUUAACUCAAUUGUUUCACAUCUUUUGAAUUUAGAAGCAACUACGACACACAGUCAUGCUAGACUCGGGCACAUAGGUAACCGUCACCAUACCUAUACACCGACUCCACAAAGAACGUAGCAAAUAUUGUCCUAAUCAUAUUCCUCAAGCCAAAGAUAGAUCAAACACUUACCUCGAAAGCUCCAAACUCAACUCACACCUCUAGGAUAGCUUUACCCCUCGAAUUCGCAACAAAACCGCUAGAAUCUAGUCACAAGUUACCCAAAUGUAUCAACAAAUGCUAGUUAAAUCAAUUUGAAUGCAUAAGAAUGAAUUUACAAAAAUUUACCCAAAACUUCCCAAAUUCCCCCGGGCCCACGUGGUCAAAACAUGAGGUUCGAACCAAAACCAGGUUACCCAUUCCCCCACGAGUUCGUAUCUACGAUUUGUUUUGAAAUUGGAUCUCAAAUUGAGCUCGGAAUCCCCAAUUUUAGGAAAACCUAAGUUCUAUACCAAAUCCCCAUUUUCACCCAUGAAAGCUUUGAUUUCAAGAUGAAUCAUGAUAAAAGAUGUUUAAGAUUAAAGGAAAUUGAGCAAAAGUUGACUUACAAUUGAAUUGGGGACGAAAGGGUUUGAGAGAAAUCGCCAUUGGAUGUUUGGAUUUUGAAAAUAUGAAAGUGAGCUUCAAAAUCGGCUAAGUGUAAAAUAUGCAGGUGCAGAUCUCACAUUUACCAGAAUGGGUUCGCAAUUGCGAACUAUGUAGAAGAAGGGCGGAUAUCGCAUUUGCGAUGAAAUGUUCGCAAUUGCGAACAAGGAAGAAAUGGGAGGGACUUGAAUUUGCGAGGGAAUGUUCGCAUAUGCGAACUUAGGGCUUAGGCUGGGGCAAUCGCAUUUGCGAAUAAUUCUUCGCAUAGCAAAGACUGCUGGGAAAGGACUCCUUCGCAUUUGCGAAGGGAACCUCGCAAUUGCUAGUUUAGUAGUCGACUGACCCUCUUCACAUUUGCGAACCAGGCUUCACAAUUGCGAAGCCUGCAGGUCUGUGACACCUGAAGCAAAGAUCCAAUAUGCAAAAAUGGACUCAACACCUAUCCAAAACUCAACCGAGCCCUCGGGGCUUCAAUCCAUACAUGCACACAACCCCAAAAACAUUCCACUGACUCACUCGUGCGAUCAAAUCGCCAAAAUAACAUCAUUUACAUAGAAUCAAACCUCAAAACACAUGAUUUUUUCCAACUUUCCAUAAAACUCUUACUUCUCAUUUUCAAGUCUGAAACACGUCAAAUGAAGUCCGUUUUCAACCAAACUUUAGAGAUAGCGCUUAACGCUCAUUUAAGACAUGUACUGGGCAUCAGAACCAAAAUACGAGCCUGAUACCAUCACCUUCAUAACUCAUUUUCAUUUCAAUAUCUCACAUUAAUUUCAGAUAAAUAAUUUCUUUCAAAAAUUCCGUACUCGGGCCUGGGACGUCGAAUUUCAAUUUCGGGAAUACACCCGGGUCUCAUAUUUUCCAUCAUGAGUUUGGGCCCGUUUACCCAAAAUAUUGACCAAAGUCAACUAUAUAAUUAUUAUUAUCAAAAUUCAUAGUUUUUAACACAGAAUACAUAUAUUUCCACAUCAAAAACUUUCCGGCUUCGCACCCGGACUAUUCACGCAAGUCGAGGUGACUAAAUAAAAGGUUCUCAAGGCCUCAAAAGCAAAAUUAAAGGGAGAAUUACGGUGAUCAUCCUUUUGGGUUGUCACAUCCUCCACAUCUAAAACAACUGUUCGUUCUCGAACGGACAAAAGAAAGAAGUACUGAGUCGGGGAACAGAGGGGGAUAACGGCUCCACAUAUCAGACUCGGACUUCCAGGUCAAUGCCUCAGGAGGCUGACAUCUCCACUGAACACGCACUAAAGGAAAACUCCUCGACCUUAACUAUCAAACUUGUCGGUCAGUAAUAGCCACCGGCUCCACCUCAUAUGACAGAUCCUUGACCAAUUGGACAGUGCUGAAAUGUAACACGUGGGCGGAUCGCCAUGAUACCUCCGAAGCAUGGAUACAUGAAAACUCGGAUACACGGCUGACAAGCUAGGUGGCAAGGCGAGUCUAUAAGAUACCUUCCCCACUCGAUCGAGAAUCUCAAAUGGGUCAAUAAACCUAGGGCUAAGCUUUCCCUACUUUCCGAACCUCAUCAUGCCCUUCAUAGGCGAUACCCGGAGAAAUACUCACUGACCAACCAUGAAAGCAACAUCCCUGACCUUGCGAUCUGCAUAACUCUUCUGUCUGGACUGAGCCGACCAAAGUCUGUCCUGAAUGAUCCUUACCUUAUCCAAGGCCUCUUGUACUAGAUCUGUACCCAAUAGCCAUGCCUCUCUCGGCUCGAACCAUCUCACUGGGCACCGACACCGCCUACCAUACAACGCCUCAUAUGGAGCCAUCUGAAUGCUAGAUUGAUAGAUGUCGUUGUAGGCAAACUCUGCGAAAGGCAAAAACUGGUCCCACGAGCCUCCAAAAUCAAUAACGCAGGCUCGAAAAAUAUCCUCAAGAAUCUGAAUAGUCCUCUCGGACUGACCGUUUGUUUGGGGGUGAAAUGUUGUCUUAACUGAACCUGGGUGCCCAACUCAUGUUGUACUGCUCUCCAGAAAUGCAAGCUAAACUACGGACACAAGUCCGAAAUAAUGGAUAUGGGCACCCCAUGAAGGCGAACGAUCUCUUUGAUAUAAAUCUCGACGUACCUCUCGAAGGAAUAGUUGGUGGCAACUGGAAUAAAAUGCACUGACUUGGUUAGCCUAUCAACAAUAACCCAUAUAGCAUCAAACUUCUUCCGAGUUAUCGAGAUACCGGUAACAAAAUCCAUGGUGAUCCUCUCCCACUUCCACUCGGGAAGCUCAAUCCUCUUAAAUAACCCACCGGGCCUCUGAUGCUCGUACUUAACCUGUUACUCAUCGGAAGGCCAGUAACAAAAUCCAUGGUGAUUCUCUCCCACUUCCACUUGGGAAUCUCAAUCCUCUGAAAUGACCCACCGGGACUCUGAUGCUCGUACUUAACCUGUGUGGCAACUCAGACAAUGAGCCAGAUAUGCGACAAUGUCUUUCUUCAUCCUGCGCCACCAAUAAUAUUAUCUCAAAUACUGAUACAUCUUCGCAGUGCCUGGGUGAAUAGAAUACCGACAGUUGUGGGCCUCCGCUAAGAUCGACUCCCGAAUACCAUCAACAUUGGGCACACAAACUCGUCCCUACAAUCUCAAUACACUAUCAUCUCCCAGGGUCAUCUUCAUGGCACCUCCCCGUUAUACCGUAUCCCACAGGACACACAAAUGAGAGUCAUCAAAUUGUCGCUCUCGAAUGCUUUCCAUCAACGACGAACGAGCAACCGUGCAAGCUAACACCCUGUUGGGCUCAGAAAUAUCCAAUCUCACAAAUCUAUUCGCCAAGUCCUGAAUAUCCAAGGCAAGCGGUCUCUAGCUGACCGGAAUAUAGGCAAGACUACCCAUGCUAGCGGACUUCCAACUCAAUGUAUCGACCACCAUAUUGGCCUUCCCCGGGUGGUAUAUGAUAGAAACAUCAUAGUCUUUUAGCGACUCCAACCACCCCCGUUGUCUCAAAUUCAACUCCUUUUGACUGAAAAUGCUGAAGGCUCUUGUGAUCCGUGUACACCUCACACGUCACAUCAUAUAAAUAAUGCCUCCAGAUCUUCAAGAUGUGAACAAUGGCUGCCAACUCUAGGUCAUGAACAGGAUAAUUCUUCUCGUGAAUCAUCAACUGCCUCAAAGCAUAUGCUAUGACCUUGCCAUUCUGCAUCAACACUACGCCAAGCCUGAUGCGGGAAGCAUCACAAUAAACAGUAUAAGGCCCAGAUCCUAUGGGAAAAAUCAAUACCGGUGUCGUAGUCAGAUUGUCUUGAGCUUCUGGAAGCUCGCCUCUCACUCAUCUGACCACCUGAACUGGGCACCCUUCUAGGUCAAUCUAGUCAUCGGGGCUGCGAUGGAUCAAAACCCUCCAUGAAACAUCUAUGGUAACCAGCUAGUCCCAAGAAGCUCCGGAUCUCUGUAGUUGAAGCUGGUCGAGGGCAGUUCUUGACUGCCUCUAUCUUCUUCGGGCCCACCUGGAUUCCCUUUGUUGAUAUGACAUGACCCAGGAAUGCGACUGAACUCAACCAAAACUCGCACUUCCAGAACUUGGCGUACAAAUGACUAUCCUUUAGAGUCUGAAGAACCACUUUGAAGUGCUGCUCAUGCUCUUUCUGACUGCAGGAGUAUAUCAAAAUGUCGUUAAUGAAUACAAUCACAAACAAAUCCAAAUAGGGUCUGAACACUCAAUUCAUCAACUCCAUGAAUGCUGCCGGGGCAUUGGUCAACCCAAACGACAUGACCAAAAACUCNNNNNNNNNNNNNNNNNNNNNNNNNNNNNNNNNNNNNNNNNNNNNNNNNNNNNNNNNNNNNNNNNNNNNNNNNNNNNNNNNNNNNNNNNNNNNNNNNNNNNNNNNNNNNNNNNNNNNNNNNNNNNNNNNNNNNNNNNNNNNNGUGAAAUGCUGUCUUAGGGACAUCAGACGCCCUAAUCCUCAGCUGAUGAUAACCAGACCUUAAAUAUAUCUUUGAGAACACCCUAGCACCCUGAAGCUGGUCGAACAAAUUGUCAAUCCUCGGCACUGGAUACUUUUUAUUUAUCGUCACCUUAUUCAACUACCGGUAAUCAAUGUAUAUCCUCGUCGACCCAUCAUUUUUCUUGACGAAUAACACUGGUGCACCCCAAGGUGAUACACUGGAUCUGAUGAAACCCUUAUCAAGAGUCAUGAAGCUACUCCUUCAACUCUUCCAACUUUGGCGGGGUCAUGCAAUACGACGAAAUGGAAAUAGGCUGAGUGCCCUGAGCUAGGUCAAUACAGAAAUCAAUAUCCCUGUCAGGCGACAUACCCGAAGGGUCUGAAGGGAAAACCUCGGGGAACUCCCGAACAAUAAGAACAAAGUCAAUAGAUGGAACCUCUGCGCUGGGGUCGCGAAUAUACGCCAGAUAUGCUAGAGACCCCUUCUCGACCAUACGUUGAGCCUUGAAAUAGGAAAUAACACUACGUGUGGCAUGACCUAGGGUUCCUCUCCACUCAAGUUGGGGAAAAUCUGGCAAGGCCAAGGUCAUGGUCUUGGCGUGGCAAUUCAAAAUAGCAUGAUACGGGGACAACCAACCCAUCCCUAAUAUAACAUCGAAGUCCACCAUAUCUAAGAGCAAUAAUUCAACACGAGUCUCAAGACCCUCAAAUACCACCACACAUGAACGAUGCACUCGGUCAACCACUAUAAAAUCACCAACCGGUGUGGACAUAUAUACAAAAAUACCCAAAGCCUCACUAGGCAUGACCAAAUAGAAUGCAAAACAGGACGACAUAUAAGAAUACAUAGAUCCCGGAUCAAAUAACACAGAAGCACCUCUAUCACAGAACAAAAUAGUACCUGUAUGAUAACUCGGCCUCUGGACUGACCGGCAAAGCAUAACAAUGGGGCUGACCCCCACCUCCCUGAGCUGUGUCUCUAGGGCGAUCGACUGCUGGCUGACCCCUACCUCUAGCGGUCCAAGCUCCACCUCGACGGUCUCCCCCUCCACCUCUAUGAUCCCUACCCCCGCCUUUAGCUGGGUGGGCGGCCUGUGGAUCACCUGCUGCAUGAAUCGUAGGGCGAGGAACCUGCUGCUGAGAACUACUCGAGGCUCGAGGGCAAACCCUGACAAUGUGACUCGGGUCACCACAACCAUAACAUGCCCUCGGCUGCUAAGACUGCUGGCCAUGUCGACCCGUAUGUCCUCCCUUGAAGCUCUGAAGUGGCGGUGCACUGAUGGGGGCUGGUGAUGCACUGAAGGUUUGCUUAUCCUAAUAAUAUUGUUGAGGACCACCACCGCUUAGAGUACCAUGAUAAACCUGAAGUGCAGGUUGGAAGGGCCUCUGAGAGUGGCCUUUUUCAUAUGAAUCCCUGCCUCCAGAUGAGGCACUAUUGAACCUACCGAAAUAGCAAAGCCUCUUAUCUGACCCCUGACAACCCCCUCGAACAAGUUCCAUCUCUAUCCGGCGGGCCGCAUUGGCCGCCUCCUUAAAGGAAAUAUCAUUACCAACUCCCAUGGCCAUGUGAAGGCGGAUCGACUGAAUCCAUCCAUCAAUGAAUCUCUGGACCGUCUCUCGCUCCGUAGGGAGUUUCAAAACUGCAUGGCGUGCCAAAUCAACAAAUCUAGUCUCAUGCUGUGUAACUAUUAUGGAGCCUCUCUGGAGGCGCUCAAACUGCCUACGAAGUGCCUCUCGCUGAGUGACGGGGAGAAACUUCUCCAAGAAUAACUCCGCGAAUUGAUCCCAUGUCAAAGCUGGAGACCCUGCUAGUCUAGAUAGGUAAUAAUCCUUCCACCAAGUCUUGGCAGAUCCUGCAAGCCUGAAGGUGCAAAAAUUGACCCCAUUGGUCUCCACUAUACCCAUAGUCAUAAGGAUCUCAUGACAACUGAAUAGAAAAUCCCAGGGAUCCUCUGAUGAAGUACCGCUGAAAGUAGUGGUGAAAAGCUUGGAGAACCGAUCAAGUCUCCACAAAGCAUCCGAAGACAUGGGCGCUCCAUCUCUGGCCUGAGCUGUAAUACCUAUCUGAGCUGCCACUGAGGGCUGAACCACUGGAGCCUGAGUCCAGGGAGCUACUUUCUCCGGAGUAUGCGUAGCAGGAGUCUGAACCCCUCCUCCAGCUUGAGAAGUGGCUGGUGCUACUGGCAGCAGAUCCGCUCUAGUGACACUGUCCAUAAAGCCUGCUAUACGAAUGAGAGCAUCCUGGAGAUCCGGGGGAAACAUAACCCCUCCCUGGGACCUGAGCUGGGCCCACUGGAGCUACUGGGGCUGGAACCUCCUCAUCAAAGUCAAUAUGAGGCUCCACCUCUGGAACUACUGCCUGGGGCUGAGUUCUGCCCCUACCACGGCCUCUGGCAAGGCCUCGGCCCCUGCCCCUCAUGGGAGCUGCUGCGCGGUAGAAGAAGACGCACGCGUUCUCGCCAUCUGUGAAAGAAUAGAGUAUACGGACAAUCAAUAUUUGACGAACAAAAUUGCACGACAAGAAUAAACAAAGGGAAAUAUUCCUAACUCUGUAGACUCUGGGGGAUAAAUACAGACGUCUCUGUACCGAUCCCUCAGACUACCGAGCUUGUCCGUGAGUUUUGAGACCCAAGUAACCUAGUGCUCUGAUACCAAAUUGUCACGACCCGAAUUUCCCACCAUGGGGAGUCGUGAUGACGCCUAUUGUCGGAGCAAAGCAAGCCAACUUAAACAUACCUUUUCAACAAGAUAAUAAUAAAAACAAUUAAUUCAAGCGGAAGUCUUAAUUUAAUAUUAAAUAAAACAAAUGUGGAAAAAAUUAACAUCAUCCUCUACCAAAGAUUUAGUGUCACAAUACUCACGAACUACUAUAAAAUACUACAAAUAAGAGUUUGAAAGAAAAUACAUAAGGAGUGUGUUUCGAUACAAUAAAAACAAACAGAAAUGAAAUAGAUAAGACUCAAGGCCCGCGCACGCCAGCGAACUGCCUAGGAGUCUUUGGACUGAAGGCACGCUCCCAAUCUAUUGUUGCUGCGGUCUGUAAGUUUAAAUUGUACAUAUAUAUGUGCAAUAAUGGAAAGAUAUACAUAAUUUAAACAUAUAAUAGGGAGGGGCCAUGCUGUGGGGUGUAACAAUUUAAUUAUGAGACCAACUAAUAGAGAGAUGGAAACUGAAUAGUUAACAUCAAUGAAACAGAGCAAGUAAAUUAACAACUCAACGAUACCAACCUUCGUGCUUUUACUCUCAAUUCUCACAAAAACUGCGAAAUAUAGUGCACGGCAUCACCCUUCGUGCUUUCCUCGCAUAACUCUCAUAUCAAGGCACGGAAUGACCCUUUGUGUUCAAAUAAUCAAUACAUGGCACGGAAAGACCAUUCGUUUAUAAUUAUCAAAACAUGGCACGGAAAGCCCUUCGUGCAUAAUCACUCUUCCUCACCUAAUCAACAGUCACAACCAAUUGGGGAAAGAAAUAUACAACAAGAUUAAACAUCCCGACAAGGGAUAACAAAUCAACAUUUAAGUCCGUGCAAGGGAAAACGAGUCAACAAUGAGUCCCGACAAGGAAAACAAAUACCACACUUCCUUCUUUAACUCAUUUGCUGAUCAACUAUCGCUUCAUAUUUAAAUUAGCAAGUAAUUAACUCAAUCGUUUCACAUCUUUUGAACCAGAAGCAACUACGACUCACAGUCACGCUAGACUCAGGCGCAUAGGUAACCGUCUCCAUACCUAUACACGACUCCACAUAGCACGUAGCAAAUAUUGUCCUAAUCCUAUUCCCUCAAGCCAAAGUUAGAUCAAACACUUACCUUGAAA
rnacentral:lncRNA from 1 species